UAUCCGGCCCUUUUUUCGCGUCCACCGACUUUGGAAAACGGUUGUUGUUUUUCUUCGUUUCCUCUCCCCCUUUGUUCUCCGAAUUUUUCCCAACGAAAAUAAUUUAAUUAUCGUAGUUAUAAUAUUUCACUCGUUCAUUUUAAAUGAUUUACUAUUUUAUUACCAUAAUAUACGUUUUUUAAUAAUAUAAUUAGUUAUAAAGAAAAUGGGAGGGCUAGUUUUGCAAACAAAACGCGUUAAAUAUAUUUUCCCGUGAGAGAUGGGACGAGAACAGACCAUUUUUCAAGGUUUUCCGUGUCCACACGACGAAGUCCAAUGUACGCCCAGUGGACAAAGAUUUUUAACUGCUAUGUGCCCAUCACAUAAAAUAAAUAUUAAAUAUUAUAUGUAUACCUACUGAACAAUUUUAUAUUAAGUAUAUGUACUAUGUAUAGUCGUCGACCCUUUUGGUUUUUUUAACGAUGGAAUGGGGAAAUUGGACAGGCAGUGUAUAUUCAUUGAAAAAAAAAAAAGGUUUGACGAUCAACAAUAACAAAAAUAACGUGUGUACCGUUAAGAUAACGUUCCUGUAUAUUGUAAUAUUAUACGCGUCAUGUCACGACAAGGCCACGGUCACUCGAAGUGUACCUAAUCAUAAUAUUGUUCCGCGAAAAUGACCUACCUAACCUCUUAUAUAUUACAUAUUAUAUCUUCUAUUAGUUCGAUGAUGCCGUAAACCGUGUAAAUACUAAUAUAUAAUAUACCUAUUUUACAAACUCCAUUAUUUCGCAAACAACAGUGUUGUCCUGCUCGCGUAAUUUGAGACCGACAUAUUAUGUUUUUGUGUUG